UAAAGAGCAUAAUGGGAAACACUUUAUAUUGUAGAAGGGACUUCAGAAAGGUAACCACACCUGGAAUACAGAAGCCCAAUAGGAAAGACAGACACCAUGCUUGAGAAGUUCCAGUGGGUCAAACAGAUAAUACUCAGGACACUGCAGAAGUUGCAACCCACUCAGGUGUGCAGAGGACAAAAUUUCCAAGCAACAAUCAGAAGGAGCAUAUCAGAAGCUGACUACGCAAUUAUCGAUGCAACCUGUGAAACCUCCAUCUCCCUUGAAUAGCGUCAAGAGCCAUAUCUUUGAAAGGCAGUGUCCAAGACUUCUAGUUUGGGGACUGGGGAAGGUACUUCCUGAGUUCCUGACGCUGCCUCAGGAGGAGAAAGAUGGAGGGACACAUUGUGUGGUGGUUAGGUUGUUUGCCCUCUCCUGAAUAAAGAUAA